AUUGAACGCUGGCGGCAGGCCUAACACAUGCAAGUCGAACGGUAGCACAGAGAGCUUGCUCUCGGGUGACGAGUGGCGGACGGGUGAGUAAUGUCUGGGAAACUGCCUGAUGGAGGGGGAUAACUACUGGAAACGGUAGCUAAUACCGCAUAACGUCGCAAGACCAAAGAGGGGGACCUUCGGGCCUCUUGCCAUCGGAUGUGCCCAGAUGGGAUUAGCUAGUAGGUGGGGUAAUGGCUCACCUAGGCGACGAUCCCUAGCUGGUCUGAGAGGAUGACCAGCCACACUGGAACUGAGACACGGUCCAGACUCCUACGGGAGGCAGCAGUGGGGAAUAUUGCACAAUGGGCGCAAGCCUGAUGCAGCCAUGCCGCGUGUAUGAAGAAGGCCUUCGGGUUGUAAAGUACUUUCAGCGAGGAGGGAGGCAUUAAGGUUAAUAACCUUAGUGAUUGACGUUACUCGCAGAAGAAGCACCGGCUAACUCCGUGCCAGCCGCCGCCGUAACAC
rnacentral:rRNA from 1 species